UGGGGAAUUUUCCGCAAUGGGCGCAAGCCUGACGGAGCAAGACCGCGUGAGGGAAGAAGGUCUGUGGAUUGUAAACCUCUUUUGACAGGGAAGAAUAAUGACGGUACCUGUCGAAUCAGCCUCGGCUAACUCCGUGCCAGCAGCCGCGGUAAUACGGAGGAGGCAAGCGUUAUCCGGAAUUAUUGGGCGUAAAGCGUCCGUAGGUGGGUGCAUGUGUCAGUUGUUAAAGGAUGGAGCUUAACUCCAUAAGAGCAAUUGAAACUGUGUAUCUAGAGUGCGAUAGGGGCAAGGGGAAUUCCCAGUGUAGCGGUGAAAUGCGUAGAUAUUGGGAAGAACACCGGUGGCGAAAGCGCCUUGCUGGGUCUGCACUGACACUGAGGGACGAAAGCUAGGGGAGCGAAAG
rnacentral:rRNA from 1 species